rnacentral:rRNA from 1 species
CCUACGGGAGGCUGCAGUGGGGAAUAUUGGACAAUGGGCGAAAGCCUGAUCCAGCCAUGCCGCGUGUGUGAAGAAGGCCUUCGGGUUGUAAAGCACUUUCAGUGGGGAAGAAAGCCUUGGGGCUAAUACCCUCGAGGAAGGACAUCACCCACAGAAGAAGCACCGGCUAACUCCGUGCCAGCAGCCGCGGUAAUACGGAGGGUGCGAGCGUUAAUCGGAAUUACUGGGCGUAAAGCGCGCGUAGGCGGUCUGAUAAGCCGGUUGUGAAAGCCCCGGGCUCAACCUGGGAACGGCACCCGGAACUGUCAGGGUAGAGUGCAUGAGAGGAAGGUAGAAUUCCCGGUGUAGCGGUGAAAUGCGUAGAGAUCGGGAGGAAUACCAGUGGCGAAGGCGGCCUUCUGGACUGACACUGACGCUGAGGUGCGAAAGCGUGGGUAGCAAACAGGAUUAGAUACCCGAGUAGUC